GACGAACGCUGGCGGCGUGCUUAACACAUGCAAGUCGAACGGGGAUAUACUGGAGGAGAGCUUCGGCAGGAAUCGGGUAUAUUCCAGUGGCGGACGGGUGAGUAACGCGUGAGCAACCUGUCCCAGACAGGGGAGUAACACUUGGAACAGGUGCUAAUACCGCAUAAGACCACGGGGUCGACAUGGCCCACGGGGUAAAAGGUAGCAAACCGGUUUGGGGUUGGGCUCGCGUCCGAUUAGAUAGUUGGUGAGGUAACGGCCCACCAAGUCGACGAUCGGUAGCCGACCUGAGAGGGUGAUCGGCCACAUUGGAACUGAGAGACGGCCCAA
rnacentral:rRNA from 1 species